rnacentral:rRNA from 1 species
GAUGAACGCUGGCGGCGUGCCUAAUACAUGCAAGUCGAGCGAACAGACGAGGAGCUUGCUCCUCUGACGUUAGCGGCGGACGGGUGAGUAACACGUGGAUAACCUACCUAUAAGACUGGGAUAACUUCGGGAAACCGGAGCUAAUACCGGAUAAUAUAUUGAACCGCAUGGUUCAAUAGUGAAAGACGGUUUUGCUGUCACUUAUAGAUGGAUCCGCGCCGCAUUAGCUAGUUGGUAAGGUAACGGCUUACCAAGGCAACGAUGCGUAGCCGACCUGAGAGGGUGGUCGGCCACACUGGAACGUGGACACGGACCAGGCUCCUACGAGAGGCAGCAGUAGGGAAUCUUCCGCAAUGGGCGAAAGCCUGACGGAGCAACGCCGCGUGAGUGAUGAAGGUCUUCGGAUCGUAAAACUCUGUUAUUAGGGAAGAACAAAUGUGUAAGUAACUAUGCACGUCUUGACGGUACCUAAUCAGAAAGCCACGGCUAACUACGUG